UACGAAGGGUGCAAGCGUUACUCGGAAUUACUGGGCGUAAAGCGUGCGUAGGUGGUGAGUUAAGUCUGUCGUGAAAGCCCCGGGCUCAACCUGGGAAUGGCGAUGGAUACUGGCUCGCUAGAGUGCGGUAGAGGAGAGUGGAAUUCCCGGUGUAGCAGUGAAAUGCGUAGAGAUCGGGAGGAACAUCAGUUGCGAAGGCGGCUCUCUGGGACGGUACUGACGCUGAGACGCGAAAGCGUGGGGAGCAAACAGGG
rnacentral:rRNA from 1 species